UACGAAGGGGGCUAGCGUUGCUCGGAAUCACUGGGCGUAAAGCGCACGUAGGCGGAUCUUUAAGUCAGGGGUGAAAUCCUGGAGCUCAACUCCAGAACUGCCUUUGAUACUGGGGAUCUCGAGUCCGGAAGAGGUAAGUGGAACUCCGAGUGUAGAGGUGAAAUUCGUAGAUAUUCGGAAGAACACCAGUGGCGAAGGCGGCUUACUGGUCCGGUACUGACGCUGAGGCGCGAAAGCGUGGGGAGCAAACAGG
rnacentral:rRNA from 1 species